rnacentral:rRNA from 1 species
GACGAACGCUGGCGGCGUGCCUAAUACAUGCAAGUAGAACGCUGAAGAGAGGAGCUUGCUCUUCUUGGAUGAGUUGCGAACGGGUGAGUAACGCGUAGGUAACCUGCCUUGUAGCGGGGGAUAACUAUUGGAAACGAUAGCUAAUACCGCAUAACAAUGGAUGACACAUGUCAUUUAUUUGAAAGGGGCAAUUGCUCCACUACAAGAUGGACCUGCGUUGUAUUAGCUAGUAGGUGAGGUAACGGCUCACCUAGGCGACGAUACAUAGCCGACCUGAGAGGGUGAUCGGCCACACUGGGACUGAGACACGGCCCAGACUCCUACGGGAGGCAGCAGUAGGGAAUCUUCGGCAAUGGGGGCAACCCUGACCGAGCAACGCCGCGUGAGUGAAGAAGGUUUUCGGAUCGUAAAGCUCUGUUGUAAGUCAAGAAUGAGUGUGAGAGUGGAAAGUUCACACUGUGACGGUAGCUUACCAGAAAGGGACGGCUAACUACGUG